rnacentral:rRNA from 1 species
AGCAGCCGCGGUAAUUCCAGCUCCAAUAGCGUAUAUUAAAGUUGUUGCAGUUAAAAAGCUCGUAGUUGAAUUUCGGGGUCAGUAGGUUGGUCGUGCCACUGGUAUGUACUGGCUUCACUGAUUCCUCCUUCUUGAAGAACUGUAAUGUCAUUAAUUUGGUGUUGCAGGGAAACAGGACUGUUACUUUGAAAAAAUUAGAGUGUUUAAAGCAGGCUAACGCUUGAAUACAUUAGCAUGGAAUAAUGAAAUAGGACGUUUGACCCUAUUUUGUUGGUUUCUAGGAUCGGCGUAAUGAUUAAUAGGGAUAGUUGGGGGCAUUAGUAUUCAAUUGUCAGAGGUGAAAUUCUUGGAUUUAUUGAAGACUGACUACUGCGAAAGCAUUUGCCAAGGAUGUUUUCAUUAAUCAAGAACGAAAGUUAGGGGAUCGAAGACGAUCAGAUACCGUCGUAGUCUUAACCAUAAACUAUGCCGACUAGGGAUCGGAUGAUGUAAUUUUUAAUGACUCAUUCGGCGCCUUAAC